rnacentral:lncRNA from 1 species
CUUUGAAAAGGCUCACCUGCACCUUGGUUAAAAGCCCCAAGCUUAUUCCAACAUGCAGUGUCUGUCAGGAAGCUCAAACUGAGAAUAAAAUUCCUCUGUGACCUUACUGCCCACUGAAAUUGCCAGAUGAGUGAAGAAAUGUCAAUUGAAACAAAGAGUGGCUAAAGGGAAAGCCUGUAUUAAUUCAAGUUCUACAGACUCUUACAACAAGUAGGGAAAAGAAUUUUAACCCCGGUGUUCUGAUGAAAUUCCAGACUCUGUAAUUACAUUAGCUCUGAAGUCCACCUGCAGUUUUAAUAUAAAAAGCUGUUCUGCUUCGAGCUGUCGCCUGCCAUGCAGUUACGCUGCUCAGUGUCAAACAGGUGCUGGAGUUCAUCAGACAGGUAAAAGGUGGAACUAAAGAUCAUCAGCCGACUCAUAUGGAGAACUGUGAUGCUGUCUCUUCCAGAGGCUCAUUAGCACUCACUCAGCAAGGUUCCCCAGCUUUGCCUGUACUCUUUCGAAGCAGCAACCAGAUUGCAUUUAGGGACCACCACUAGGGAAGAGAAGAGGGCUGGACUCUUGUCUUGGACUGCCAUCAUGCAGCCUCUCCUGUGUGACAGUAUAAAACAGCAAGGACAAGGGCUGGAUGCUGUUUCAGUGAGGGUGGCUGAAACUCCAUGUGCAGGCUGGGAUGGAUCCUGUGCAGAUGAAACAAUCUCAAGCUUCUGGAUUCAGUCUUGUUUCACCGUUAGCUUAAAUCUUGUAGACCCAUCUGUGUGGGAGGAAAUGAUGCAGCACUACUAAACUGCCAUCUCUGACUUCAUCAACUCCAUAUUUUGUAGCACUGGAUUGCAAGCUAAAAGUUGUACCUGGUAUUUCAGAGGACAGGGAAGUAUGAGAAAUAGGCCAGAGGUAGUUGCUAAGUCCUGGUGUAGAAUGACUACAGAUUACCUCCUGAAAACAUACAUGUAUGCUCAGCCCUACAAUUUAAUAUUUUGAAGAUACUGGAAUUAUUUUUAUGCCUAAUUACCAAGAUAUGUUCUGUAUGUGCUGGGGAGGUAAUAUGGAAGAACGUGUGAGAAGAGAGACUGCAUUUUCAUCCUCUUUAUAGGGCAUUUGGAAAUGAGGUCAAAGCCCAGCAAAGAUUGACAAGUAUUGACAAUAACUUGCAACACCACCACCACCAGGCUUUCAGCUCUGACUCGAAUGUUUUCAUCACUGAAUCAUAAGAAAUGUGUGAAGUAUAUGCACAGAAGGCCAGCAUUUGAAAACAUACAGAGAGCACCAUAAUUGUCAGAGAAUAAACUGCCAGCUAUUGUGAUGGAGAAUUUUAAG